GUUACCAGCUGCAGUUGUCCCUGCUCUCAUCCCCUGCGAUCCUCCUGUUGCUGAGGUCUCCAAGGUAAAGAUUAAGAUGAUGGAGUUCUUGCGGAUGUCUACUCCACAGAAGAGUGCUGCAGAGAAGAUACUGGCAAAUAACCUUUUCCUUCUGUGAUUUUCUCUUUCUUCUUGCCUCCAGCAAAAUAGCAAAGGCCCAAAGUGAUGAUCGCGUAAAGAAGUAAACCAAGCAGAAGCGAAGAUGGCUGCAAUCAACAGGUUUUCCCGCAGUGCAAGAGACUAUACGUUUCACAAAGGGCAAUAAGGAGAGUAUACGCUGAAGGAGUGGAUUUCAACUUUUGAAAGCAGGAAGAAUUAAGAAAAAUCACCCACAUACAACUGUAGUAGUCCUAAUGGUAGCCUAAACCCCUGCAAACUGAUGAAAGAACAGGGUCUAUCUUCCUCUAUCUAUCCUCUGGCUAGAAGAGAAUACUCAAUGAGGCUGGACAGAGAAUAAAUGAAUGAGAAAAUAUUUAGUAUACUUAUUUAAUUAGUGCCUUCUGCUUCCAGCGGUCACGUGGCAGAAUAAGAGACUAACCAGAACAAGGUAGCUACCUAUAGAAUAAUCAAACUUUCAGCAGCGGAGAGAAAGACAUCAGUCUGCUCAGACUGGCAUAGCAGAGAAAUGCAGUCAACACCAAACUUCCACUGCUGGAAACAUGCUGCUUCUUUAAUGCAUUUGAUAAAGCACUUACUAAAAAAAGCUGAAAUAAAAAUCAAGCAUGAUCAUAGAAUGUUUUUGGUUCAGAAGGGACCUCAAAGAUCAUACAGAUCCAACCCCCCUGCCAGAGGCAGGGUUGCCAACUGCUAGAAUAUGAAGAAUGAAUUUUCAAUGCAUCCAAAGACUUGGUAGAACAUGCCUCCUGGUUAUGAUUUGUCACUUGAAAAUGGCUUUUAUUGGUCGUUCUAUACCUUAGAUGAUAAUAAGGUACCCAAAGACACUCAGUGGCACUUAAUACAUGUACAAAUGCCUUCAGUUUUACUAAAAGGCUAAGUACAACUGAGGAACAGCAUUAACUAAAUUUAAUAAAAACACUUUUUUUUUGGCAAAACAACUAUUUUGAUUGGGGCAAAAUGCAUAUGCAUACUGGGGAUACUCAUUCCCAGGUGAAGUGUAAUGCUAUUGUAACCCUGUGUCUAUAGAAUUAAAAUCAGGAUACUUGUAUAAAUUGAAUUUUUAAUGGCUAUUUGAUCUCUUCAAAGAUUCCCACCUUCUUCACUGAGAUGUCUCUUUUUGUGUCAAAUCUCCAAACAACUUCAAUGUCUGUCUGCAGCACAGAUCACAGAAUUUUCCCUUACACUUAUUUAAGUUCUGCUUGACCUCCAUACCUGUGAGGUAUGGCACAAACAUUGUUUUAAGAGCAUCUUGUUCAUUUAACAGCCUAACCUGCGGUACAAUUAAUACACACAAUAUAGAUCGGUAUCAUAUUUUGUAAGAAGCUGCUCCAGCUGAAGCUGAUAAAUACCCAG